GAACGCCGUGUGCAGUGAAAGUUGCAUGCACGGUGUGGUGCAGGGGAAAAAAUGGCGAUUGUCUCAAAAUUUUACCUAUUGCUAU
rnacentral:ncRNA from 1 species